UGGUUUCCUCAGCCCGAAGAACCUUUGCAUGGCAGUCCCUCCUUCUCACCUCUUACUUAGGCAACAAUCAGUCAUGUGAAUAAUCAGUCUGUCACAGUCACAGACUAGUCACCACAUCUUUUCAGAAAGUAGUGGGGAGGCCGGCCAAUCACCAUAAAUAAGGUGCAGGGGCUCCACAGUGCUUUUGAGCAAAUAUUCUAUAAGACGAACAGGAGCUCAAGCAGUGUGCAAAGCUGUCAUCAAGGCAAAAGGAUGGCUACUUUGAAGAAGCGAAAAUAUAAAAGGUGUUUCUAAACCAAAUGGGAAAAGAUGUGCACUUCUGGAUUGGUCUGACUGACUCAGAGAUGGAAGGUUUCUGGAAAUGGGUGGAUGGAACAACAUCACCAACAAUGUUCUGGAGAAGAGGAGAGCCAAAUAAUGCUGAUGGGGAGGAGGAUUGUGUGGUAUUCAACAGGUUUAUUAAUCUGUCUUGGGACUGGGAAAUGAUUCAGUCAUGGAAUGACCAGCCUUGCUCAGUGAGGCUAAAUGGGUAUGUGAGAGCAGUGUCAUAACAAAUCCAUCCACAACAGGAGAAUAAUAUCUGAAUUCCCUUUUGAGUUAGCAAUUGUAUUAUUAGUUAGCAAUUGUAUUAUCACAGAUUAUUGUUGAAGUGUAAUUUAAAUCUAUUACGACAUAAGUUAUGAUUUGUAAUGAUUGUUCUUAUGAUUAGUAAUGAUUGUUCUUAUGAUUAGUAAUGAUCGUAGCUAUGAUUUGUAAUGAUUUCAUUUAUAUAAUACAUAAUUGCUUUUUAAGAACCAUAGUAUUAUGAAUGUGAAACUCCAACCUGAAAGCUAAUGUAGUGAAUUGACAUGCAGGGUCAAAUCUAAUCUAAUCAUCUAACAGUGAACUGUGUACAAGGCAAGUGCCAUGAUUCAAUUUGUUCAAUUUUUGGAUAACAUUAAAGACAUAUUCUGAAAGCUAA